AGCGAACGCUGGCGGCAGGCUUAACACAUGCAAGUCGAGCGGGCAUCCUUGUGGUGUCAGCGGCAGACGGGUGAGUAACGCGUGGGAACGUGCCCUUCGGUUCGGAAUAACUCAGGGAAACUUGAGCUAAUACCGGAUACGUGCGAGAGCAGAAAGGUUUAUCUGCCGAAGGAUCGGCGCGCGUCUGAUUAGCUAGUUGGUGAGGUUACGGCUCACCAAUGCGACGAUCAGUAGCUGGUCUGAGAGGAUGAUCAGCCACACUGGCACUGAGACACGGCCCAGAAUCCUACGCGAGGCAGGAGUGGGGAAUAUAGGAAAAUGGGGUCAACCCUGAUCCAGCCAUGCCGGGUGAGUGAUGACGGCCUUAGGGUUGUAAAGCUCUUUUCUCCGGGACGAUAAUGACGGUACCGGAGGAAUAAGCCCCGGCUAACUUCGUG
rnacentral:rRNA from 1 species